rnacentral:rRNA from 1 species
GGCAGCACGGGGCAACCUGGUGGCGAGUGGCGAACGGGUGAGUAAUAUAUCGGAACAUACCCUAGAGUGGGGGAUAACGUAGCGAAAGUUACGCUGAUACCGCAUACGAACUAAGGUUGAAAGUGGGGGAUCUACGGACCUCAUGCUCAUGGAGUGGCCGAUAUCUGAUUAGCUAGUUGGUGAGGUAAAGGCUCACCAAGGCGACGAUCAGUAGCUGGUUUGAGAGAACGACCAGCCACACUGGAACUGAGACACGGUCCAGACUCCUACGGGAGGCAGCAGUGGGGAAUUUUGGACAAUGGGCGCAAGCCAGAUCCAGCAAUGCCGCGUGAGUGAAGAAGGCCUUCGGGUUGUAAAGCUCCUUUGUCAGGGAAGAAACGGUGAGUCCUAAUACGGCUUGCUAAUGACGAUACCUGAAGAAUAAGCACCGGCUAACUACGUGCCAGCAGCCGCGGUAAUACGUAGGGUGCAAGCGUUAAUCGGAAUUACUGGGCGUAAAGCGUGCGCAGGCGGUUAUAUAAGUCAGAUGUGAAAUCCCCGGGCUCAACCUGGGAACUGCAUUUGAGACUGUAUGGCUAGAGUGUGUCAGAGGGGGGUAGAAUUCCACGUGUAGCAGUGAAAUGCGUAGAUAUGUGGAGGAAUACCGAUGGCGAAGGCAGCCCCCUGGGAUAACACUGACGCUCAUGCACGAAAGCGUGGGGAGCAAACAGGAUUAGAUACCCUGNNAGUCCACGCCCUAAACGAUGUCUACUAGUUGUCGGGACUUAAUUGUCUUGNUAACGCAGCUAACGCGUGAAGUAGACCGCCUGGGGAGUACGGUCGCAAGAUUNAAACUCAAAGGAAUUGACGGGGACCCGCACAAGCGGUGGAUGAUGUGGAUUAAUUCNAUGCAACGCGAAAACNUUACCUACCCUUGACAUNGNUUGGNAUCCCGAAGANAUUUGGGANUGCUCG